GACGAACGCUGGCGGCGUGCUUAACACAUGCAAGUCGAACGGAAAGGCCCUGCUUUUGUGGGGUGCUCGAGUGGCGAACGGGUGAGUAACACGUGAGUAACCUGCCCUUGACUUUGGGAUAACUUCAGGAAACUGGGGCUAAUACCGGAUAGGAGCUCCUGCUGCAUGGUGGGGGUUGGAAAGUUUCGGCGGUUGGGGAUGGACUCGCGGCUUAUCAGCUUGUUGGUGGGGUAGUGGCUUACCAAGGCUUUGACGGGUAGCCGGCCUGAGAGGGUGACCGGCCACAUUGGGACUGAGAUAAGGCCCAGAAUCCUACGGGAGGCAGGAGUGGGGAAUAUUGCACAAUGGGCGGAAGCCUGAUGCAGCAACGCCGCGGGCGGGAUGACGGCCUUCGGGUUGUAAACCGCUUUCGCCUGUGACGAAGCGUGAGUGAAGGUAAUGGGUAAAGAAGCACCGGCUAACUACGUG
rnacentral:rRNA from 1 species